UUUUAUUACGAGCAAAACAGAUCGCAGAUCAACUUGGUGGAUUCUCCAAAAAACUGAAGUCUUCUUAAUUGUUAAUUGUUUCUUGUUAAUUGUUGGUAGGUUCUGUCCUGCGGACAGAGGCAGACGGGUGAGUAACGCGUAGGAAUCUACCUCUAGGUGGAACAUAGCCGUCCGAAAGGAUGGGUAAUAGUCCAUGGUCCCCUCACCUCACGAGGUGAGGGGUAAAGCAUUAACUUUGCGCCAAGAGAGGAACCUGCGUCCUAUCAGCUAGUUGGUGGGGUAAUGGCCUACCAAGGCUAUGACGGGUAGCUGGACUGAGAGGUCGGUCAGCCACAACUGCACUGAGACACGGGCAGUACACCUACGGGUGGCAGCAACUAGGAAUAUUGGGCAAUGGACGAAAGUCUGACCCAGCGACGCCGCGUGGAGGAAGACGGCCUUAGGGUUGUAAACUCCUUUUGCCCCGCCACAUGGCGGGGCGAAUAAGCCUCUACUAACUACGUGGCCCCGAUUUGAUCGGGGUUGGCGCGUAGUAUAAAUCUUACUGUAUGCUGGAAACUUCUGUAAAUGCUAGAUUACUCUUUGAGUGAAAAUAUCUAGCCAACCCAAAAAAGCUUCGAGACAGCAUGAGGGUUGCAGAACAAUCAGCAGGAAACUACGUUCAGUUUACAUGAAUGUAGGAUCCUCAGAGACUAUACGUAAGAGUCGCCUUAGGCGACAAGAGAUAGUCCACGUUACGUAGAUAUUUGUAAGCAAAGGGGCGUGCCAUCCCACACGAGCUUACUUUGCGUCUUUUCAGUACUAUUCGUACACGACGCAAAGAGCGCUUCGGCGGGAUGCCCACGUUAAUUUUGCUUCGCAAAAUUUUACGUGGCCAGAAGUCUCGGUAAUACGUGGGAGGCAAGCGUUAUCCGGAUUUAUUGGGCGUAAAGUGUGCGUAGGCGUCCCGCCCAGUUCUUGUUUAAAGCUCAAGGCUUAACCUUGAAAAAGGCGAGAAUACUGGCGGGAUUGAGGAUUGGCAGGGAUGCUGGAACAGCUGGUGUAGCAGUGAAAUGCGUUGAUAUCAGCUGGAACACCAAAGGCGAAGGCAGGCAUCUGGGCUUUUCUCUGACGCUGAGGCACGAAAGCUAGGGUAGCGAAACAGAUUAGAGACCUGUGUAGUCCUAGCCGUAAACGAUGUCCGCUAGCUCUGUCCGCCUCUGGUGGACGGGGUGCAAGCUAACGCGUUAAGCGGACCGCCUGGGGAGUACGGCCGCAAGGCUAAAACUCAAAGGAAUUGACGGGG
rfam:Candidatus Levybacteria bacterium RIFCSPLOWO2_01_FTLL_38_21 rifcsplowo2_01_scaffold_57247, whole genome shotgun sequence.